rnacentral:rRNA from 1 species
UACAGAGGGUGCGAGCGUUGUCCGGAAUCAUUGGGCGUAAAGAGCGUGUAGGCGGCCAGAAAAGUCCGCUGUGAAAACUCGAGGCUCAACUUCGAGCUGUCGGUGGAAACUUUCUGGCUAGAGUCCGGAAGAGGAGAAUGGAAUUCCUGGUGUAGCGGUGAAAUGCGCAGAUAUCAGGAGGAACACCGGUGGCGAAGGCGGGUCUCUGGGCCGAUACUGACGCUGAGGAGCGAAAGCGUGGGGAGCAAACAGG